rnacentral:rRNA from 1 species
UACAGAGACCUCAAGCGUUAUCCGGAAUCAUUGGGCGUAAAGCGUACCGAUAGGUGGUUAUACAAGUCAGAUGUGAAAUCUCCGAGCUCAACUCGGAAUCUGUCUUUUGAAACUGUAUGACUAGAGGGGCAAAGAGGAAGCUGGAACGAACGGUGUAGUAGUGAAAUGCGUUGAUAUCGUUCGGAACACCGAUAGCGAAGGCAGGCUUCUGGGUGCCACCUGACACUGCUAGGACGAAAGCGUGGGGAGCGAAUGGG